rnacentral:rRNA from 1 species
AGCGGCGGACGGGUGAGUAAUGCCUAGGAAAUUGCCCUGAUGUGGGGGAUAACCAUUGGAAACGAUGGCUAAUACCGCAUAAUGCCUACGGGCCAAAGAGGGGGACCUUCGGGCCUCUCGCGUCAGGAUAUGCCUAGGUGGGAUUAGCUAGUUGGUGAGGUAAUGGCUCACCAAGGCGACGAUCCCUAGCUGGUCUGAGAGGAUGAUCAGCCACACUGGAACUGAGACACGGUCCAGACUCCUACGGGAGGCAGCAGUGGGGAAUAUUGCACAAUGGGCGCAAGCCUGAUGCAGCCAUGCCGCGUGUGUGAAGAAGGCCUUCGGGUUGUAAAGCACUUUCAGUCGUGAGGAAGGUGGUGUAGUUAAUAGCUGNAUNAUUUGACGUUAGCGACAGAAGAAGCACCGGCUAACUCCGUGCCAGCAGCCGCGGUAAUACGGAGGGUGCGAGCGUUAAUCGGAAUUACUGGGCGUAAAGCGCAUGCAGGUGGUUUGUUAAGUCAGAUGUGAAAGCCCGGGGCUCAACCUCGGAAUAGCAUUUGAAACUGGCAGACUAGAGUACUGUAGAGGGGGGUAGAAUUUCAGGUGUAGCGGUGAAAUGCGUAGAGAUCUGAAGGAAUACCGGUGGCGAAGGCGGCCCCCUGGACAGAUACUGACACUCAGAUGCGAAAGCGUGGGGAGCAAACAGGAUUA